AUUCUACUCCCUCCGUUCGGAAUUACUUGUCUCGGAAAUGGAUGUAUCUAGAACUAAAAUACGUCUAUACAUCCAUGUCUGCGACAAGUAAUUCCGAACGGAGGGAGUAGUAG
rfam:Triticum aestivum genome assembly, contig: Triticum_aestivum_CS42_TGACv1_scaffold_526692_6DL